GGAACGGAUUUCUCCUCACAGCCCUCAGAAGAAACCAACCCUGUCACCAUUUUGAUCUUGGACUUUAGCCUCUGGAACUGUGAGACAAUACAUUUCUGUUUGUUUCAGCCACCUAGUUCAUAGUACUUUGAAGUGACCUUUACACCACUCUCACUUAGAGAUGAGGUCUGUGUCCCCUCCUCUUGAAAUUGAGUGGCUUUUGUGACUGUGUACACAGGUAGAGUAAACUGCAGAGCUGCCUGUCUGUGACUUCCAAGGCUAGGUCAUAAAAGGAGAUAAAGCUUCUUCCUGGCUGGUUGGGCUGCUUGCUCUUGAAGCCUUCAGUCUCUAUGCACGCAGCAUGCCUUCCCAGCCUCCUGUGGUUGUAGAGUGUAUAGAAGGCAGUUGGAUCACUAUGGACAGCGGGUAAGAGCUGAGGAAGCAGCCUCCGCCAGGUGGUAACAUGGAGGACCCUGAAGACCAUUGGCCAUUCUCUGACCAUCUCAAGCCAGAGGUGACUUGAUCUGUCACCCAGCUGUGGCCCAUGAGCAUUAUCUAAGGAGGAACAUUUUUGCUUACGUUUCCAGUGCUCUACAUAAGCCCUAGGCCCUGGGAGGCACUGAAAUGCUCAAUGGGAGCUCCAUGUGUGCAGGCUUAUGGACUGAGAGCGUGGUGUAAAGAUGGGAGCAGAGGUGGCGUGUACCCAUCCAGUGGCCUUGAUGCUUCUGUGAAUAUGGAG
rnacentral:lncRNA from 10 species